rnacentral:rRNA from 1 species
GAUGAACGCUGGCGGCAUGCCUAACACAUGCAAGUCGAGCGAACAGAUGAGGAGUUUGCGCCUCUGACGUUGGCGGCGGACGGGUGAUUCACACGUGUAUAACCUACCUAUAAGAAUGGGGUGCCUACGCGAGACCGGAUCUAAUACCCGAUAAUAUAUUGAACCGGAUGGGUCAAUAGUGAAAGACGGUUUUGCUGAGACUAAUAGAUGGAUCCGCGUCGGAUUAGCUAGUUGGUAAGGUAACGGCUUACCAAGGCUACGAUGCGUAGCCGACCUGAGAGGGUGAUCGGCCACACUGGAACUGAGACACGGUCCAGACUCCUACGGGAGGCAGCAGUAGGGAAUCUUACGCAAUGGGCGAAAGCCUGAUGGAGCAACGCCGCGUGAGUGAUGAAGGUCUUCGGAUCGUAAAGCUCUGUAAGUAGGGAGGAACAAAUGUGUAUUUACCCAUGAACGUCUUGACGGUACCUAAUGAGUAAGCCCCGGCUAACUACGUG